rnacentral:misc_RNA from 1 species
GAUGAAGAACGUAGCGAAAUGCGAUAAGUAAUGUGAAUUGCAAAAUUCAGUGAAUCAUCGAAUCUUUGAACGCACAUUGCGCCCGCCAGUAUUCUGGCGGGCAUGCCUGUCUGAGCGUCAUUUCAACCCUCAAGCAACUUCUGCUUGGUGUUGGGGAUCGGCCGUCAAACGCCGCCCCCGAAAUCUAUUGGCGAUCUCGCUGUAGCUUCCUAUGCGUAGUAGUAACAUCUCGCAUCUGGAGAGCGGCGCGGUCAUGCCGUAAAACACCCAACUUCUCAGGUUGACCUCAGAUCAGGUAGGAAUACCCGCUGAACUUAAGCAUAUCAAUAAGCGGAGGA